GACGAACGCUGGCGGCGUGCUUAACACAUGCAAGUCGAACGGAAAGGCCCUGCUUUUGUGGGGUGCUCGAGUGGCGAACGGGUGAGUAAAACGUGAGUAACCUGCCCUUGACUUUGGGAUAACUUCAGGAAACUGGGGCUAAUACCGGAUAGGAGCUCCUGCUGCAUGGUGGGGGUUGGAAAGUUUCGGCGGUUGGGGCUGGACUCGCGGCUUAUCAGCUUGUUGGUGGGGUAGUGGCUUACCAAGGCUUUGACGGGUAGCCGGCCUGAGAGGGUGACCGGCCACAUUGGGACUGAGAUACGGCCCAGACUCCUACGGGAGGCAGCAGUGGGGAAUAUUGCACAAUGGGCGGAAGCCUGAUGCAGCAACGCCGCGUGCGGGAUGACGGCCUUCGGGUUGUAAACCGCUUUCGCCUGUGACGAAGCGUGAGUGACGGUAAUGGGUAAAGAAGCACCGGCUAACUACGUG
rnacentral:rRNA from 1 species